CUUUUUACCAUACCCUGUUUCAUAUACACUCUGACUUGAGACAAAUCAUGACAAAAGUUUCAAGAUUCAAAUUUGAGUUUGCAUACUUAAUUUAGUACAGAUAUUUUUGCAAUAUUCCAUCUGCCAUCUUGCUUCUCUGUCGCCCUGAAAGCUCAGCUUCUGAGCUUGCUGACAUGGUUUUCUAAGGACUUUCCCAGGACAGUAACUGUAAACAUAGAUAUGUGUGCAUUCUUUCUGUUACACGUCUUCUGAUGGGCAUUUCUUAUGGCCAGUGCAGUGAGAAAGUGUUAUCCUGACAAUCCAAUCCCUGGCCAUGGUCACAAGCCUAUAAAUCCUGGGAAGGAAAAUAAACUCUGCUCUUUUCUGCACCACACCUCGACCUGUGUCCGCGUGAUCUAUUGAUCUUCAGCGGUAACAUCUGGUGAACCCCGACGUGUCUUGCACGUGUGUUACAGGGUACUGUCUAGCCUGUGGCAAUGGAUGGUUUUGGGCUUUCUCUUACGGAGGGCCUGGUUCUGGAGAUAUGGCAUGCGAUGUCUGAUCAGAGGGGGAUUGAUGUUUCGUAUGCUGACUUCCAGCAAUUGUAGCUGGGAUCCAGCUGCGAGGAGAUGGUGGCUUCGGGUUCCCUGGACCUCCCUGGGUCUCUGGACUGCUGUUCUGACAGGCAGGGAUCAUCCUGAACGGGUCUGCACCCUGUCCACCCUUGGUGAGAUGCUGUCAGAGAUUAGCUUCCGUGGGUUUUGACACUGGCAUGGACAUCACGAUUGUCAAGUUUGCUGAUGGACCCGAUGCUGACACAUUCAACACAAAUAGGAACUUGAGACUGACUUUUUGUUCAACAUUUUCUGUUGUCUUCUCUCAUGAUAGACUAGUCACCAUCCGUGACUUGAUGCAAGGACAAUCUGUGAUCUGCAGUUUCGACCUAUCCCUGGGACAUUCCUGUUUUCUGUAUCAAGAAGAAGUCUGGGAAAUGGGGGUUGCUGUAAUACCUCCAGAAAGUUAAUGCUAUGGUGGAAAGCAUGGGGAUGAUGCAGGCUAGCAUGCCUUCACAUGCCAUGUUUCCUGUUGAUUGGCUAGUCCUCAUCGUGGAUCUGAAGGAUUGUUCUUUACAAUUUUUACAUUUACAUACAAUUGUUCUUUACAUUUUUACAGUUCUUUUACAAUUCCUUUGCAUCCCGAUGACAGACUGAAAUUUGCCUUUCUGGUGCCAGCUAUCAUUAAUCCUGAGCCCACACAGAGAUAUCAAUGGAGAUUUUGCCAUAAGGCGUGCAAAAUUUGCCGGCAUUUGCCGAUGAUAUGGGGCUCUAGCCCUCUCUGGAGCUGCAAGUGACUCCAGAAACAACCUCCUUGAAAUUAUUUGAGGGUCAAAAAUUAUUUUGGGACAAACAGUCCCACAUUUGGAGGUGCAAUUAUCAUUUUUGCAUUCAGUGCAGACACUGCAUGAAUGAUGUCCAAAUAUUAAUGGACUUUUACAUGGUUGUGUCCUUAUAUGGACUGACCACGACAGAACUGUCUCCCUUGUUUGGUCUAUUAAAGGGGGACUCUGAUUUUAAAGUCACCUCUGACACUGACCCACUGGCACAGUGGAUGCUGGAGGAGGUUCUGUGAGCAGUUUUUGCUCCUCAAGUUUAUUACAUUAAUUUUUCCAUUGAUGUCGCUGGUUUGUUUUUAGGUUUUUUUUAGAGAGUCAUGAGGCUGGAUCAGCCCAGUUGAUGGAAUCACAGACUGCUGUCAUAGCAUUUCAUAAGUUUUCCCAGGCACCUUUCAAUUUGGCCAUGGAUUCUGCUUCUGUGACCAAAUUGAGAACCAUCCACAAGCAGGUGUUGUUGAUGUUGGACAUUUUUUUCAUUUAUUUUUUGGGGUUUUGUUGUUUUUCUGAUUUUUUUGUUUUUUGUUUUUUUGUAAUAACGAAAGGGUGAGAUAUCACCCUGAAAUUACAGCCUUCUGAUUGUAUGGAGUAUUGUAUUUUCAUAUUAUUUAUUUUUUGAUUGUUUAUAAUGUUGUUAGUUUCUUUGUUCAUUUUUCUUUUUUCAUUUCUUUUUGUUAAACCUAAAAGGGUGAGAUGUCGCCCUGAAAGCUCAGCUUCUGAGCUUGCUGACAUGGUUUUCUAAAGACUUUCCCAGGACAGUAACUGUAAACAGAGAUAUGUGUACAUUCUUUCUGUUACACGUCUUCUGAUGGGCAUUUCUUAUGGCCAGUGCAGUGAGAAAGUGUUAUCCUGACCAUCCAAUCCCUGGCCAUGGUCACAAGCCUAUAAAUCCUGGGAGGAAAAAUAAACUCUGCUCUUUCUGCA
rnacentral:lncRNA from 1 species